CAGCAGCCACGGGAAUACGGAGGGUGCAAGCGUUAAUCGGAAUUACUGGGCGUAAAGCGCACGCAGGCGGUCUGUCAAGUCAGAUGUGAAAUCCCCGGGCUUAACCUGGGAACUGCAUUUGAAACUGGUAGGCUAGAGUCUUGUAGAGGGGGGUAGAAUUCCAGGUGUAGCGGUGAAAUGCGUAGAGAUCUGGAGGAAUACCGGUGGCGAAGGCGGCCCCCUGGACAAAGACUGACGCUCAGGUGCGAAAGCGUGGGGAGCAAACAGGAUUAGAUACCCCAGUAGUCCCUGUCUCUUAUAC
rnacentral:rRNA from 1 species